AUACUUACCUGGCAGGGGAGAUACCAUGAUCAAGAAGGUGUAGUUCACCAAGGUGAGGCUUAACCUUGCGCAGGUUAUGCUGACCCGUCGCGAAUUCCCCAAAUAGUGAGGAAUCUCGACUGCAUAAUUUGUGGUAGUGGGGACUGCGUUAAGCGCUCUCUCCC